rnacentral:rRNA from 1 species
CCUACGGGUGGCAGCAGUGGGGGAUAUUGCACAAUGGGGGAAACCCUGAUGCAGCGACGCCGCGUGUGGGAAGACGGUCCUCUGGAUUGUAAACCACUGUCCCCAGGGACGAAGAUGACGGUACCUGGGGUGGAAGCUCCGGCUAACUACGUGCCAGCAGCCGCGGUAAUACGUAGGGAGCGAGCGUUGUCCGGAAUUACUGGGUGUAAGGGGAGCGUAGGCGGGACUGCAAGUUGGGUGUCAAAUCUACCGGCUCAACCGGUAGCCGCACUCAAAACUGCAGUUCUUGAGUGAAGUAGAGGCAGGCGGAAUUCCUAGUGUAGCGGUGAAAUGCGUAGAUAUUAGGAGGAACACCAGUGGCGAAGGCGGCCUGCUGGGCUUUUACUGACGCUGAGGCUCGAAAGUGUGGGGAGCAAACAGGAUUAGAUACCCUGGUAGUC